rnacentral:rRNA from 1 species
AACGAACGCUGGCGGCAUGCCUAACACAUGCAAGUCGAACGAAGUCUUCGGACUUAGUGGCGCACGGGUGCGUAACGCGUGGGAAUCUGCCCUUGGGUGCGGAAUAACUUCUCGAAAGGGAUGCUAAUACCGCAUAAUGUCGUAAGACCAAAGAUUUAUCGCCCAAGGAUGAGCCCGCGUAAGAUUAGCUAGUUGGUGGGGUAAAAGCCUACCAAGGCGACGAUCUUUAGCUGGUCUGAGAGGAUGAUCAGCCACACUGGGACUGAGACACGGCCCAGACUCCUACGGGAGGCAGCAGGUGGGAAUAUUGGACAAUGGGCGAAAGCCUGAUCCAGCAAUGCCGCGUGAGUGAUGAACGGCCCUAGGGUUGUAAAGCUCUUUACCAGGGAUGAUAAUGACAGUACCUGGAGAAUAAGCUCCGGCUAACUCCGUGCCAGCAGCCGCGGUAAU